rnacentral:rRNA from 1 species
GACGGAGGGGGCUAGCGUUGUUCGGAAUGACUGGGCGUAAAGGGCGCGUAGGCGGUUUUUUAAGUUGGGCGUGAAAGCCCCAGGCUUAACCUGGGAACUGCGCUUGAUACUGGAAGACUAGAGGACGAGAGAGGAAAGUGGAAUUCCGAGUGUAGAGGUGAAAUUCGUAGAUAUUCGGAGGAACAUCAGAGGCGAAGGCGGCUUUCUGGCUCGUAUCUGACGCUGAGGCGCGAAAGCGUGGGGAGCAAACAGG